CACCAGGCCAUGUGCCAAGUCCAAAGUAGGGAAGUUUCAUUAUGUAAUAGAACAAGUCUGGGACAUUCUCUGGAUGAUGGGGCUACAGGGAACCAGAGAAGUAAACAAUUUGGGGGAAGAAUAAAAGCAUCCGGGGACUCAGGAAUGGAGAACUUAUGUUUAAUGGGCACCUGCUGGGGGAUAGUCACAGUAUUGGAUGACACACACACUUCUGUACGUAUGCAGCCGAGCCCAUCCUACACGUGUGAAAAAGUGCCAAUCUCACAUGAUGUCAGAAGGAGAAAUGAACAUGGGAGUGGAUGACAACUCGCCCUUAUUCCUUAAGGAAGAAUUUUUUAAAAGUUUAGCUGCUUGGAUACAGAAAGAAACACUCAUAAAAAGAAGAACUGACGGCAUGCGUAUUAAUCAAGAAUCUUCUGUCCUUUUUGGUUUGACCAAAGCACAUUUCUGAGGCUCAAAGCUC